rnacentral:rRNA from 1 species
UACGUAGGGGGCAAGCGUUUGUCCGGAAUCAUUGGGCGUAAAGCGCGUGUAGGCGGCUGGGUAAGUCCGCUCUGAAAGUCCGGGGGCUCAACCCCGGGAGGCGGGCGGAUACUGUCGGGCUAGAGUCCGGAAGAGGCGAGUGGAAUUCCUGGUGUAGCGGUGAAAUGCGCAGAUAUCAGGAGGAACACCGGUGGCGAAGGCGGUUCUCUGGGCAUGUCCUGACGCUGAGGAGCGAAAGUGUGGGGAGCGAACAGG